AGCUGCCACCAGCAGCUGGUUAGCUUAGCUUGGCAUAAAGACUGGAAACUUGGGGAAACGGCUAGCCUAGCUCUGUCCAGAGUGGUAACGAAAUCUGCUU